CUCCUCUUGAUCCUGCCAGUAGUCAAUGCUUGUCCUUCCGCAACUUCACCUUGGUAAGUAUGAACGAUUCUCCUAAAAAUGCGUUGGUCAUUGGAUCCGUUCGCGUUGCAGAUGGUACCACGUCACGGAUAACCGAUAAUUCUAGGAUAAUCGUGCAACAAAGCCGACGACGGGCGGGUGCAUUUAGGGAGAUAACGGUCGACGCGGGAGCUGCCCGCUGCGCGGAAUUCAUUCCUCUCGAAGAUCGCACGGCCUUAGCGCCGGCCCCGAUCUUCAAAUUUCUGCCCUAUCCCUUUCGAUGGUAGGAUAUGCCCGUGCGGGAAUGACGGGUGCGGCGCGCGUAGGGUUCAUUCCGGGAGGGAGCCUGAGAACUGCUACCAAUCCAAGGAAGGCAGCAGGCGCGCCGUUACCCUCCGCUGGCCGGGGAGGAGUGAUAUAAAUUCGUUACGGGCUGAUCGAGGUCGUAAUCGGAAUGGAACAACCAAAUGCCCACCAACCAGAAUGGAGGGCAAGUCACCCAUAGCAUCCGAAAGAUCAGCUCCUGUCUGUUUACUAUGUUGUUCUGUUAAAAGCUCGUAGUUGAGUUGGGGAAAUUAAGCCGGUCCUCCCACGGGUGCCUUCCGUCAUUCUUCCCUUUCCGGCGAUGCGCUUUGGCCUUCCCCCCGGGGAGUGCCUCCGGCAUCUAUUUGUGAGUCGGAGUGCUAAAAGCAAGCCUACCUCUGUAUCAUUUUAUGGGAUAACUUAGAGGUUUCGGUCUAUUCGUUUCCUUCGGAUCGGAGUUUCUUUAAAAUGUCCUUCGGGGGGCAAAUAUUUCAUAGUCAGAGGUGAAAUUCUUGGAUUUUGAAAGACGACUAACUGCGAAAAUGCCCCGAAGGUCCCUUUAAUUGUUAAAACCUAGAUGGGGCUCGAAACGAUCAGGACCGCCUAGUUAAACCAUAAACGAUAAUUUCAGGGAGGGUAGCGUUGCUUUUAGGACUCCCCAAAGUAACAGGAGAAAGGCAGACCCGGGUUCCGAGGGAGUAGGCACGCCGUGAAAGGGAAGGACGACGGAGGGCCCACCAGGAGGGCGGCCUGCCCAAAUUUGACCAACACGGGGAAACUUACAGCAACAGACAAUAAGGCUAUUGGACUGAGAUUCUUUCGAGAUUCUAGGGUUUAGACUGGCCGUUCAAGUUUAAGGGCGAUUUUUAGGUUAAUUCCAUUACAACGAGACCUCCCCUGCUAACUAUUUAUUUUGUACCCCCGUGCCUUGGAUUGGGGGACGCGGCCCUGCUGCCUUCGGAGUUGUGGCAAUUCUCAGUCUCCCUCUCCCGGAUGUCUGGGCCUCCGCGUCUACACCACCAUAUUAAGGCAUAUAUCCUUGGUCGACGGCCCGGGGCCGUUUGAAAUUUCAUCGCGCCGGGGAUAGAGCCCGCGAUUGUCGUCUUCAAUGAGGAAUCCAGCAAGAAGGUCCCCCUCGCGUUUUUACUCUAAUAAAUU
rnacentral:rRNA from 1 species